CCUACGGGAGGCAGCAGUGGGGAAUAUUGCACAAUGGGGGAAACCCUGAUGCAGCGACGCCGCGUGAGUGAAGAAGUAUUUCGGUAUGUAAAGCUCUAUCAGCAGGGAAGAAAUAGCGACCUUUGGUUCGCCAGAAGGUACCUGACUAAGAAGCCCCGGCUAACUACGUGCCAGCAGCGGCGGUAAUACGGAGGGGGCAAGCGUUAUCCGGAUGUACUGGGUGUAAAGGGAGCGUAGACGGCAGCACACGGCUGAAGUGAAAUGCCGGGGCUUAACCCCGGAACUGCUUUGGAAACUGUGCAGCUAGAGUGCAGGAGAGGGAAGCGGAAUUCCUAGUGUAGCGGGGGAAUGCGUAGAUAUUAGGAGGAACACCAGUGGCGAAGGCGGCUUACUGGACUGUAACUGACGUUGAGGCUCGAAAGCGUGGGGAGCAAACAGGAUUAGAUACCCUAGUAGUC
rnacentral:rRNA from 1 species